GGGCUGGCCUGCGUCCACAAGGGGGUUUGGUGGGACUGACAUUGGGCCAGCCCUGGGCCUAGGCCUCAGGGAGACCUGCAGCUUUCUCUCAACGACUUUUGAACCCUGCCUUGGCUAGCCUGCUGGAUGAGGAGAGCCCAGGGCCUGGCUACCCGCUGUCCCAGCCAACAGUCUGCCAACUGCCCCUGCAGUUGUUUUCCAGGAACUGAUGGUGGACCCCUCGUCCAGUCCAGACCAGUUGAGACCACCCACCUAUCAACUGGGCCUGCAAGAAUGAUAGGUGACCUUUGACCUCGAGGUGAAAAUUCUACCUUCAGGUCACACUAACGCCACCAUUCUGUGAACGUGUGUCCCGUGAAGAGCCGGGAAGCUCGACUGCAUUUGCACAGAACAUCGAUUGCCUCCCUCUCCUCACCUCGGUCAUCUGUCCUCACACUUCAAACCACCCUGCCCCCUCUCCCAUAAACAUCCCUCAUCCUUAUUUUUGAGGAGGUGGAUCUGAGACUUGUUCUCUUGUCUCCUUGCUUGGCUGCCUUGUGAAGAAAUCCUUUCUCUGCUGUGAAACUCAGCGUCUCGGUGAUCGGCAUACUGUGCGGCAGGCAGGACGAGCCUGGGUCAGCACAUGAGGGGCGGGUGGACCCAGCAGCCUGCACAUUGCUGUCCGACUGGCUGUAGCCCUGCAAAGAUGUACCAUCUUCCCUAAAAGCCCCACGCAUCUCCCUCUUGUGGUGGGUGUUGGGCCAGCCAGGGGAGUGAGGUUAUUUGUGACUCCAUUUCCCAGGAAUAGGAUACAGGGAUGUCCUACGGAUUCAGUGAGAUGAUGUCGGCAGCUGGCCUUGCACUCAGCACACACUCGAAGACUGUGGCACGUGUUACUGUCCUGAGGGCUCACCGCUCACCAGAUCAGCUCAGCCUCCCGUUAAAACCAGUCUCUCCUGGUUGGAAGAGUUGCGGCAAGUCCUGUUGUGCCUUGAAGUUGAUCAGGGAGCACCUGUCUCUUUGGUCAGUGUCCCAGGGAAGGCCAGGGAAAGGAAAAUGCCCACAGAGGCCAACGGGGGCCACCGUCUGUUUUUGUAAAUAAAGUU
rnacentral:lncRNA from 1 species